CGUGGCACCGCUCCCGGCACCGCG
rnacentral:miRNA from 1 species